AUUGAACGCUGGCGGAAUGCUUUACACAUGCAAGUCGAGCGGCAGCGCGGGGCAACCUGGCGGCGAGCGGCGAACGGGUGAGUAAUGCAUCGGAACAUGUCCUGUCGUAGGGGAUAGCCCGGCGAAAGCCGGGUUAAUACCGCAUACGUCCGAGAGGAGAAAGUGGGGGACCGCAAGGCCUCACGCGAUUGGGUUGGCCGAUGUCCGAUUAGCUAGUUGGUGAGGUAAAGGCUCACCAAGGCGAUGAUCGGUAGCUGGUCUGAGAGGAUGACCAGCCACCCUGGGACUGAGACACGGCCCAGACUCCUACGGGAGGCAGCAGUGGGGAAUUUUGGACAAUGGGGGCAACCCUGAUCCAGCCAUUCCGCGUGAGUGAAGAAGGCCUUCGGGUUGUAAAGCUCUUUUGUCCGGAACGAAACGGCUACGGUGAAUAUCCGUGGCUACUGACGGUACCGGAAGAAUAAGCACCGGCUAACUACGUGCCAGCCGCCGCAGUAAAAC
rnacentral:rRNA from 1 species